rnacentral:lncRNA from 1 species
GCUAUCAUCCACUACACUAUAAUGCUCUACACUAACCAACUGUAGGAAAUGUCAAAUCUGACCAAAUCCAAAUCGGGACUGUAAGCAUACCCGUCCCCGGGACUGUGAAUACACCCGUCCCUGCCCCGCUGCGACUAUCGGCUCUAUCCACACUAACUGGUCCGUGGAGAGCAAGUCCAACUGGCAUGAGCGACACCAACGCAAAAGCACAAGCCUGACUCCGGAGUGGCACUCGUAGGCGCUACCCAACCGAGUAUGCAGCGUAUCUCUGUCGAGCUCAAUCAGGCUCCAACUAGCCAAAGUCAAGAAAUCGACUCAAACUGGUCUAACAACCAACAGGUAACGUGCUCUCGGCACAAUCUGACGCCAAAAAGGCGAUACGGGUCCACCGUCAACUCUGACAGCACCCAACAGUCCGAAACGACCUGAACGACCCUGUAAAAAUUCACUCGGCGAACCAGCACGAGUGUAAAUACAUUCUAAACUACCUGGAGUACUCGUCUCGAAGAAACUGCGACAGUACAAUUUUCUAACGGCUCCUAGAGCUAAAUUAGGUAGUUAAAACUAGUGACAGGUCCAAAUCGCAGGUUUUCUCCUAAUUCAAUUUCCAAGUCCAACAUGUAUAGUCUAUUUACUUGAUAAAAUAUGCUCGAAAAUUCAGAUUUUACAUUCUAAAAAUAAUCCAUGAAUUUGAGCUAACAACUAUUGUAGAAAUCACGAUUUACACAUGUCGACUAAUAACACUUAGGAGUAAAACCGAUGUAACCCACCUAAAAUGCUAAUCCCUGGCAGCGAAGGACUCCCCCCUGGUGUAGAGCAACCUGCUGGAUCACCCGGAACCCGCCGAGUACAGAAAUCGCCUAAGCUCGAGCUCUACGCAACAAAAAUCACCAAUUCAGUCCAGAAAUCACAGCAGUGAGGUACAACAGGGAUUCGACCAAGAUAACCUUCACCAAAUCCAGCAAGUAAGGACUUCGUGGAUUCCUCUCGCAGUCCUGAAUCCAACGAACAAAGCCUCGUCGCGAUCCGACGUUCCUACGCGGAGAACGAGCUGAAAUAUGAACAGUCGACGGCGGAUUUCAGCAAAACAGCUACUAACCGAGUAGAAAUAGUAACACUUGCCCAAAAUCCAGAAAAAACGCCGAAUCACCCACCUCGACAGCGUCGAACCUCGGCGCGACGUCAAGAACAGUGAAGACGCUCCCUCGCCCGGCCUCCUCGCAAAGCUCCGGCAGCAAGCGCGCUCGAACGGCUCGCGGCGCGACGUCGGCGACGAAAUCCCCAACCGGACUCUCCACCACACCUAGAGAGAGAGAGGAGAAGAAGAAGAUGGAGAAGAACAGGAAGU